CACAUCAUAUCCAUAACACCUGUGCACUUGUCGGAUGGCUUAGUGAAGACCGCAAGGUUGGAUCUAUCCAUCUACUUUACAUAACAAUUCUGUAACAAAUGUAGUCUUAUUAUAACAUAAUAAAACUUUCAACAACGGAUCUCUUGGCUCUCGCAUCGAUGAAGAACGCAGCGAAAUGCGAUAAGUAAUGUGAAUUGCAGAAUUCAGUGAAUCAUCGAAUCUUUGAACGCACCUUGCGCUCCUUGGUAUUCCGAGGAGCAUGCCUGUUUGAGUGUCAUGAAAACCCUCAACCCUAGAUUGGUUAAAACCUUUCUUUGGUUUGGAUUUGGACGUUUGCCGAUGAUAAGUCGGCUCGUCUUAAAAGUAAUAGCUGGAUCUGUCUCGCGACAUGGUUUGACUUGGCGUAAUAAGUAUUUCGCUAAGGACAUCUUCGGAUGGCCGCGUUGCAGGACUAAAGACCGCUUUCUAAUCCAUUGAUCUUACGAUUAAUAUUCUUGACAUCUGGCCUCAAAUCAGGUAGGACUACCCGCUGAACUUAAGCAUAUCAAUAAGCGGAGGA
rnacentral:rRNA from 1 species